GAUGGUCCACACAAAGCUCCUCGGACCGAUUAGCCCUCCGUGGGAGUACUAGCUCGUGCAGUCAGCUUCUGAUGGCAGAUCUGACUUGAUCUCCUUCUUCGAUCACCUCGAAUCUUUCUGAUGUCGAAAUUUGAUUAGAGAAGGAUGUUGGAUGGUGGAGAAAAUUUAGAUGAAGAUUCUCUUCUCUUUAGUUUUUCCCCCAUCCAAAAACCUAGAACAAUUCUAGGUCUCUCACCCAAGAGGAGAACGGUCUCCUCUUUUGUUCACACCGAAGAGGAAGGAAACCCACCCAAUGCUCAUGUCCCAAAGAAGUAUUUUUGACCCUCUUUUUCUCUGGUAUCUCAUAGUGAAGAGCUCUUUUCUUUUGGCACACAAAAUUAUGACCUUUUUAUAGUUGUCGCACAAACUAGAUAAAAUAGGAUAAGCGCUGGAGUUUGUUGCAAUUCAAACUCUUUUGAAUUUUAAUUCGACUCUAAUUUUUUCUCACCCUUAUCUAACUUAAAGAGAGACUUACCAAAGAAAAUUAGGCAUGAAAAUCAAUUGGGAAGACCUCCUUUUCUCAUACACAAUAGACCCCUUCAAAAGUAGCCAAUGUAUGGAAGGAUAUGGAUAAGGUUUUAAGUUGAAAUUCAAAUUAAUUUGAAUUCAAAUCAAAACCAACCAAUUUCUAUCCUUAAUGUAUGACAAAAGAAUGAUUAUUUUUUGAUUUUCUCACAUACAAACUGGUUUUGUAUGGUGAGAAAAGGUAUAAGACAAUUUAGGUGGCACAAGGGAUAAAGUCCUACUUAUUUGGGACUCUAGGGUUUAACAAAAAGAUUUGUUUCAAACCCAAUCCAAUUAGAUCCAAAUAAAAUAUGGUGAACCUAAUCUAAAUAGGCUUUUAUAAUCUUAAUUAAAUUUAAUUAAAUCAAUAAAUUAAUUGAGUCAUAGAUCUGAUCAAAUCAAGAUCAUUUCUUUUUUAUUGAUUAGGUUAUCUCAUAACCUAAUCAGACUUGACUUGAUUGAAUCAAAUUCAAUCAGACUUGAUUUAGAUUUUAAUGCUCAAUUAAAUUGAGCUAAUUAGUGAUCUAAUCACUAAUUAAUCCUUCAUUAAAGAUAGAGUCCAAGUCUAGUGGGACUCUUCUCUAGAGUCUCUAUCCAGUGGGAUUCUUCAAUAAAGUCUCCGUCAAGUAGGACUCUUCAUCUGAGUCCCCAUUGACUGAGAUUCUUUAGAUUAGCCACAUGAUCGGAGAGAAACUUCUUAUGUGUGUGACCCCAUAGGUUUGAUCCUAAGUCGAUAGCACAAAAAUUGAUUUCUGUAUCAAUCAGAGUAACCAUCUAGCAAUGGUACCCGAUAUCCGGAUAAACCGAAUGUACGCUAAGCAACACUCAAGAACAUAUUUGAAUAUAGUUACUGUAUAAUUUAUCCCUUUGACCCAAAUACUCAAAGUGAUCUAGAGUUUAACUGUCAAUCCUAAUAUGGUCAUCCAUAUUGUAUUUUAAUUUUUAAAAUUCAUCACAUGGAUUACCUCGGUCAAGAUUUUACUGAAUUGAAAUACACUGAUACAUUAACUCCUACUUAUUCGGAG
rnacentral:lncRNA from 1 species